UGAUAAAAGCCAAAGAAACUCCAGC
rnacentral:piRNA from 1 species